CCCUUAGAUGUUCUGGGCUGCACACGUGCUACACUGGCAGGUUCAGCGAGCUUCAUGCCCUGAUCUGAAAGGAAUGGGAAAUCUUUUCAAAACCUGCCGUGCUUGGGAUAGAUGUUUGCAAUUAUUCAUCUUCAACGAGGAUUGCCUUGUAAGCGCACGUCAUCAGCGUGCAUUGAAUACGACCCUGUAUUCUGUACACACCGCCCGUCGCUCCUACCGAUUGAGUGGUCCGGUGAGGCUUUGGGAUCUAAGCGAAAAGAGCGUUUCGCUCCUUUUGCUGGGAGAACUCAGUCGAACCUUAUCAUUUAGAGGAAGGAGAAGUCGUAACA
rnacentral:rRNA from 1 species